GGUUGUAGCUCAGUGGUAGAGUGAUUGCCUAGCAUGUAUGAGGCACUGGGUUCGAUCCUCAGCACCA
rnacentral:tRNA from 1 species